rnacentral:rRNA from 1 species
UCAGGAAUAUUGCGCAAUGGAGGAAACCCUGACGCAGCAACGCCGCGUGGAGGAUGAAGUCCCUUGGGACGUAAACUCCUUUCGACCGGGAAGAUGAUGACGGUACCGGUGGAAGAAGCCCCGGCUAACUUCGUGCCAGCAGCCGCGGUAAUACAGAGGGUGCAAGCGUUGUUCGGAAUUAUUGGGCGUAAAGGGCGCGUAGGCGGCGCGGUAAGUCACCUGUGAAAUCUCCGAGCUUAACUCGGAGCCUGCGGGCGAAACUGCCGUGCUGGAGUAUGGGAGAGGUGCGUGGAAUUCUNCGGUGUAGCGGUGAAAUGCGUAGAUAUCGGGAGGAACACCUGUGGCGAAAGCGGCGCACUGGACCAUANNUGACGCUGAGGCGCGAAANNUAGGGGAGCAAACAGGAUUAGAUACCCUGGUAGUCCUAGCCCUAAACGAUGAUUGCUUGGUGUGGUGGGUACCCAAUCCCACUGUGCCGUAGCUAACGCGAUAAGCAGUCCGCCUGGGGAGUACGGUCGCAAGGCUG